UACGAAGGGGGGCUAGCGUUGCUCGGAAUUACUGGGCGUAAAGCGCACGUAGGCGGUUUGUUAAGUCAGAGGUGAAAUCCCGGAGCUCAACUCCGGAACUGCCUUUGAUACUGGCAAGCUAGAGUCCGGAAGAGGUGAGUGGAACUCCUAGUGUAGAGGUGGAAUUCGUAGAUAUUAGGGAAGAACACCAGUGGCGAAGGCGGCUCACUGGUCCGGUACUGACGCUGAGGAGGCGAAAAGCGUGGGGAGCAAACAGG
rnacentral:rRNA from 1 species